GAGAUUUGGCUGCCAAAUCUCUUCCAAAAUGAAUCAGCACCUGAAGCUUUGCACAGCCCUAAUGUACAGCCAUAAAACAGUUUGGCUAAUAGAACAUGGAGCACUCACCAGGAGGAGGAGGAGGAUCUAGACUUUUCCUGGGCCCCGUCUUGGGUUCCUUCAGCAUGACAAAUUUCCAGCAGAGUUGUAUGCAUCAUAGUUGAUAUUAACUUUGCUGACUUUCAGUUAAGUGGCAGAAUUUGGAAUUGUCCCUCAUUUUCCUUGUUCCCUAUGUGUACGGGUGUGUUGAAAAUUGUCAACCUUUUCUACAGUUCUCAUUUUUAAGGCUCAUGCUGACAGCUACUGACAGGCUGUAAUGAUUCUGUCCUAAUACCCUUGUUACCUGAACUCCUGCCUCUUUUAGGGAGCUUUAAAUGAGCACAAAGCUAUAAUGAACUUUAAAUAAA